rnacentral:lncRNA from 1 species
UAGCCACCAUAGCCACCAUGGGCGAUUCCGGCGCGAGCCGUCGCGACCGCUAAGCAGGCGAACACAAUCUAAAAGAGACGCGAGACGUUAUUCAAUGUGACUAACGGGACGAACCGAGAUGGAACGUAAGUCCCGGCGUUAUCUCUAUUCAGAUUGAAUGCUGUGUACGUGAAAAGUCUGUCGACGUGGUGAGUCAAGAUAAACGUAACGGUAGAGGGUGCGAGAGGGUGCAAGAUGCGUGCAAUAUUUCGAUCGCGAGAUUGAUGAAUGAAGAUGCGCCUGUGCGGAGUAGAACCGGUCGCGGAGUUAGUCCGCUUGCUCAAUGACGGUGAUGAUACUACCUACAACCGGUUUUCGCUCGGCGCGCGAUGCGGUACCAUAAUCGGUUGGCGAUCGAUGCGGCGACGAUAUAAUCAACGAUUGGAUAAUUGAAUCCCUUGCGUGUUUUUCGUCCAGGACACAUCCUGACUUGAUCGUUUGGACAUCUGGACUGAGCUUCAUUUACAACCGGCGCAUGUUACAUGCGAAGGAAGCAUGAUCGGGCCGACUCUGCAACCCUCCAACCUAUUUCCGGACGAUACGGAUUCUGGCAUUCUCGUCUCUAAUCAUGCUAAAUGCUAACGGGAAAUCGGGACGCGUUUAAGCGCUUAAUGCGUAGUAUUGCGGCUAUUGUGUCCGGUAAUAGGGGUAGAAAUUCAUCGAAUACGAAAUACCGAAUCGAAUAAUAUAGUAAAACUCUUCAUUUACCGAUUCUAUUUUGCGCUAUGAUGCAAAUAAAUUGCAAGCGGCACGUUUGUUCACCGAAGCGAUAUAUCUUGCAUGCGUAUCUCGCGUUCAUAUCUUAAUCUCCUCGACCGAGGAGGGAAAAGGGAUGUAUCUUAUGGAUACGCGAUGACUUAUCAGUGGCGUGACAUUUAUAGAUGUGAAAUUACGUUAUGUGUAUCCGAGGUUAUACGCACGUAAUAGAGGUGCCAAGUCUAAGCGGGACUUUCUCGCGGAUAAAGCACACGUUAUUCCUGUUUCCAUUUGCGAGCGGCCGAAGCCGCUAGAAAAAGGGAAAAAAAAAGGAACGAAGCAGACAGUUCGAAACGUCAUCUCCUUCUGCUCAUUAAACGCCCGUGCGAAAUAAAUUCCCCGAGCAUUCAAGUACAGGCACGUGUAACGACCGCGGUAUGCCCGGAAUGCCGGUUGUCUUCGUUAAUUCUCCAUUUAUGACUAUAUACAGCGGCUAACGGCAUGCCCGGCAAUAUAGAUAUGGCGUUAAAUAAUGACCAUCGCCGUGCGCCCCUCGUUAAACGUAUCUUCCACUUUCUCAAAAAUUUCUUCAUUAAUGGAGGCUGCUAUAUAUAGCGUGCAUACACAACGCGUUCGUUUUAUAAAUUACACAAAUCACGCGAAUUUUACAACGUUAUUACGUUGUAAGGUCUCUCAUGUAAUGUUUUACAUUACAGAUUAUCUUGAGCGUUACAAUUAUUCCUUAUUACAAUCGAUUCCGAGGAUUUUCGUACCUAUAAGCCGUUGAAUACGCUCAGGCUUUAUUAGAUUUAUCAUAUUUUCCCUAUAAAAAAAGGAAGCUACAAAAAGAGGACGUUAAAACGUCGUGUCUCGGAAAUUUUUUAGUUCCGAAAUUUUGCACAAUUCAAGUGCAACCCGCGUGUCUGAUAUUUCCCGUCUUGCCCCGCGCCCCCUCCACGAUUUUUAUUUUUACAAAUCUAUUAACAAAUCGGUGUCGGCGGCGCGGCGUUCCGCACACGCGAGUGCACUCGGAUACGCUACAAUUCUCUCACAUACUCCGCUCGCAUAUUAAUGGCUCCGGCGCGGGGCGACUUGGUUCGCGAGCAGGCGAGCGUAAACGUUGAAUAAUAACUGCAUUCCGCGCGGCGGGCCGGCCAGCUUGGUCGUCGUCUACGUGCUGCCGCAUGCUGCGUAUAUAUGCACGCAUGACAGCAGCACUUAGCGUUGCGUAUAUAUAUUACUUGGGGGGGGGUAGUAGAGGAGGAUCGACUAUCGGUCGCGCGGGCCGCCACGACGAAACGGCUUCGCGUUUCGCUCCUCGUUACUUCCGGUCUGCACGCGGCGCGAAAACUGCCGAUUAGGGAUCAUGUUAGGAGAUUAUUAGACGAGAAAUGUCUCGGGACACUUCUCACUCUACACCACUUGAACUUGUCGCUGGCUCUGAUCAGUCGCAGAGAUCUGCAUAGUUAAAAAUUUUGUGUUAAAUUUAAUAUACGUCUCACGCAAUUUUUGUAUUAAUUUAGCAUAAUAUGAAUAUUAAGUAACACAAAUGUUAAAAGAUAUUUUUUAAUGUAUCGCGCACGGUAUACAUACAUUCUUUACUUUAUAGAAUUACAUUUCAAAAUUAGAUAAUUAUUUUUAUGUAAUUUUAUUUGUUUAUUCACCACUAUUUUUUAACACGAGAAAAAUGUUGAAUAUUAAUUUAACACAAAAAUUUAAACAAAGGUCUAUUUCAACAUAAAUACAAAAUGUUUUCUAUCGUGUAAAGUUGCAAAAGGAUAGCGAAGAAAUGUUCUUCGAAUUGGUUCUCAACGAUUCUUUUAUUUUUUGACAGACAUUUGACAAGCUGUAAGGCCAUCAUAGAAAAACCAUCGUAAUCUUUUCCUGGAAGUACAAAAUUCUAACAGUUUCGAUCAGUGCGGAUCCAUUCUAACGAUUGUUCUGUAUCAAUAACGUGUCGCAAUAUUUUUCUAAGAGAUAAAUGCGAUCGCGACCAAUUUUUGGAAUUGAUGUGUCACGUGAUGCGAGGAUGCACUCUAUCUAAAAGUUCGAUGUCAGUGAUCUUCUAACGGCUCUUCGGUUCAUAUAUGUCAUGAGAGCCACUUCUUACAGCCGCUACUUUCUCUUAACGAGAGAAGGACGCAUUGCAUCGCCGAUAUCAGCAGGGUUAACGGUGUCCGAGUCUCAUCCCUCGGACAUCUUCAGACAUUUUUAUCCGCUUCAUGUCGAAGAUAAGACUCGUGUGUGGUGCGCGAAGUGGAAGUCGUUUCCCGGGACGACACGGUGAAAUACAGUGGAAACCGAUAGAUUUUUCGAGAGCAGGCGGUCCAUUCGUGUCGAGGUGUACAUACACAGACACACAGACACACACACACACACACACACACCUACAUACAUUGCGCAUUAUCGAAAUCAUUUUGCAGCAUGAAUAAUCUAACAUAUUUAUUCCCAACAUUUUUGCUCUAAGGUAUAAAAUAUCCAAUCAACAAAAAUCAACAAAUACACUGAAUUACAAAACAAUUCCGUAACAAUCAGAGUCUGAAUUGCAGAUUUUCUCAUGGGGGAUGCUACGUCGAUGAAAAUUUAAAAUCGAAACGAAUGGGCUUUCGAUGCAAAUUAACAUGUACGAAAAAAUUGGUCGAUUUUCAAAAAGAAAAAAUUACACAGAGAAAGUAAACUUAGGGAUAGAGAGAGAACACCUUUACGGAAACUGACCAUGAAUGCGACAUUUCGCAACGUCGGAAGGAAAAUGGAUUUUUCUUGAUAACGCUAUAAAGUAAGGUAAUACGCGAAUGUUCACGUAUACCUACGCAUAUCGCUAUUUGUAGAUAGAGGCACACCACGUAUGUACCGAGAAUCUUGGGUCCCUGCUGUUGUCCACUCUCGCCUAUCCGUUUACGAUCGCACAAGAUUCCACGUUCAUAUCUGAUUUUCUCCGUAACGCGUUCCGCGUAAGGAAACGACCGCGGUCGGUAGUUGACUAAUUUCGCAGUUUUACGGGCCGGGACGGCCGUUACUGCGUCAUUAAAACCGCCUUUCCUGUAGCAUACAGCAUCCGGCGCUAAGCAAUGUACACAUUUCGGCUGACGGGUAACGUUACGUCAGUUAUCCGCAUCGCAAUUUCACUGACUCACGUUCGCGACUAGCAUUCGUCGACCUUUCCACACACUAAAUAAUAGCAAUAUAUGGUGACACACUUGUACUCUCUGUCGUAAUAAAAAAAAGCAGCAAACGGAACAAAGCCUUCUCGAGCUUAACGGAUUAAUCGUGUGAUUCCCGGUCCUCGUUCCCAAAUAGAGAAAGUUUCUUAAAGAGAUUUUCAUUCACCACGCGAACAGCUAAGGAAAAUAUGGAGCUGCGCCUGGAUAUUACUAAAAAUAGAAGACUUAAUUAAAACCGACACAAACGUGAUAAUGGAACAGUGCGCUGCUGCUCUCGUAGUUGUUAAUAUUAAGAUAAAUCCGCUUAGAAAAGAGACACAUGUAACGCUGAACGAGCUGGGACAGGAUAAAUAAUUGUUCCACCCGCGAGAAGUCAGGAGAAACAAAAGAGGCAGAAUCCAUUCAGCAGGUAGACAGUGCAGAAGCACGCGAAACCUGAAUUCCUCGCGUCAUGUAAUAGCUAUUCUAACUAGAGACCUAAUGUCCGGACGAUUACGAGCUAUAAAAUCUCAGGUAAAAAGCACCCGCUGCAUUGCCCUAAGCGCAAGCGGGAGAUACACGUUGAGGAACGUUCUGCUCGCUUCUAUUGACGUAACCGCACGACGCUUUAAAGUGCCACAAAACUUUCCCGGCAUGCAGAAACUUUUGACAUGGUGCGUUCGAGUCGCUCCCAAUUUGUUGAAACUACAAGAACAGUUUGUCGUACAAUAUUAUCGUUUUACGUAACGCGCAGAACUUCCAAACUAGAAAAUUAUGCGAAGAGAGUAUCGUUUUAUUUAUUGUAUCUCUAUUUUGUGAUUUGCGAUAUAAAAUUCUUCUAAAAACA